UAGGGAAUCUUGGACAAUGGGCGAAAGCCUGAUCCAGCCAUGCCGCGUGAGUGAUGAAGGCCCUAGGGUUGUAAAGCUCUUUCAGGGGGGAAGAUAAUGACGGUACCCACAGAAGAAGCCCCGGCUAACUUCGUGCCAGCAGCCGCGGUAAUACGAAGGGGGCUAGCGUUGUUCGGAAUUACUGGGCGUAAAGCGCGCGUAGGCGGAUUGGCCAGUCAGGGGUGAAAUCCCGGGGCUCAACCCCGGAACUGCCUUUGAUACUGUAAGUCUAGAGGUCGAGAGAGGUGAGUGGAAUUCCGAGUGUAGAGGUGAAAUUCGUAGAUAUUCGGAGGAACACCAGUGGCGAAGGCGGCUCACUGGCUCGAACCUGACGCUGAGGUGCGAAAGUGUGGGGAGCAAACAGGAUUAGAUACCCGUGUAGUCC
rnacentral:rRNA from 1 species